GACGAACGCUGGCGGCGUGCUUAACACAUGCAAGUCGAACGAAGAGCGAUGGAAGCUUGCUUCUAUCAAUCUUAGUGGCGAACGGGUGAGUAACGCGUAAUCAACCUGCCCUUCAGAGGGGGACAACAGUUGGAAACGACUGCUAAUACCGCAUACGAUCUAAUCUCGGCAUCGAGGAUAGAUGAAAGGUGGCCUCUACAUGUAAGCUAUCACUGAAGGAGGGGAUUGCGUCUGAUUAGCUAGUUGGAGGGGUAACGGCCCACCAAGGCGAUGAUCAGUAGCCGGUCUGAGAGGAUGAACGGCCACAUUGGGACUGAGACACGGCCCAGACUCCUACGGGAGGCAGCAGUGGGGAAUCUUCCGCAAUGGACGAAAGUCUGACGGAGCAACGCCGCGUGAGCGAUGACGGCCUUCGGGUUGUAAAGCUCUGUUAAUCGGGACGUAAGGCCUUCUUGCGAAUAGUGAGAAGGAUUGACGGUACCGGAAGAGAAAGCCACGGCUAACUACGUG
rnacentral:rRNA from 1 species